AUGUACAGAAUUAUUCUCAUUGGCCCAUAUCAUACAACGCAUAACCAGCUGACAAUUAAGAAUCUCAUUUAUAACUUAAAACCAGAUAUUCAAAUUAGUAACACCUACAACUACACUAGAGGAAAAAUACAAAAGAACCCUACCAACCAAAGGUACAAUUUUCCAUGUGCCUCAGUAAAACUGUGAUGAGGAAUUGAUGACCAGCUAAACGGAAUGCUACUGCAAUCUUUGAGAGCAAUCCUUCGAUCAUUGACACCCCCUCCCACAAACUUACAUUCUCAAGUCUAACACACAUACUGUAUUGUUGGCAAAGCAUGCUGCAAUUUUGUCACCUUCCUUGUUCCAGCAAACUUCAAAUAUUCCACCAUUGCCUGUGUACGUUUUCACGAUCUUAACUUCCUUCAAAGACCAGAUGUUGACACAUCUAUCAAGGGACCCACUAGCCAGAUACUCCCCAUUUGGGCUAAAUGCUACCGAGUACACAGGAUCCCUGUGUCCAUUCAAACUGCAAGUAAGUUUCCCAAGUUCCACAUCCCAUAAUUUCACUGUUGAGUCAAAUGAUGCACUCGCUAGGAGUAAUUGCUGGUUAGGAUUGUUUGUACCAGGUCCAGUGGGGC
rnacentral:misc_RNA from 1 species